AUCCUUUAGUGCACAGGUAUUAGCAUAUGCUAAUACCUGUGCACUAGAGGUGUGCUGCUGAUCCCUGUGAUUUCCCCAAAUGUGGGGAAUUCAACUGCAUAAUUUGUGUUAAUGGGGGAUUGCACUUAUGAUUUCCAUG
rnacentral:snRNA from 1 species